AGGCUUGUAGCUCAGGUGGUUAGAGAGCGCACCCCUGAUAAGGGUGAGGUCGGUGGUUCAAGUCCACUCAGGCCUACCA
rnacentral:tRNA from 1 species